CAUAGGUCAGCGUGUGACUUUCCUGCUUCCUGAGAAGAAAGAGAGGAAGCAGAACUGGUACUUUCAAGAGAGGAUAGGGGCGCACGCUCACGCUGCUCAACCCUGGUGUUGGAGUGGGACAGGAACACAAAGUCAUUUUGCGCUCUGAACUUUCAAGUUGCAUUUCCAAUGUGAUUUUGCCGGUGCGAAGCUGGGCAGGGCAGCUGUCCUGGGACUACCUGGAUGAGAACCUGUGGAGCAGAGCCACUUUCAGAGCAUGCAGUAUGAAAGCACUUGCCACCGACAUCCUCUGCACAUUGUGGUGCCUCUACAGGGACACUGACAGCCCCGUCUGAUUUCGCUGUGUGCUGGCUGUGAAGAAAGGCACCAGAAGGAACCCACCAAACCAUCCUGCAGACACUGCUGCAGUGCCUCACCCUGUUGGCAAAGCUGGAUCACGUCGGGAAACAGAGUGCUUGUUGCUGGAGAUGAGUCCCCCAGUUUACCUGAGCUGGAGACUUCGGCUUCUGCACUUGCCCAACAGUUUCUAUAAGGAAGAGGAACUCCAUAGCCCUGGGACAACAGCCGCGCUGCAUCAGAAGAGGAUCACAUUAGAGAGCAAUGGCAUUGCGAAGGACACAGCUUCCACAGGGCAGAAGUGGAUUUUGAAGACUUCAGCACUGUACCUGUGACUGAUCUGCCCUGGGAUUUCUUUACUGCAGACAAUUGCUGCUGUCAUUGUGUUUAUCUAGUUAUAAAAAAAUCCAGUGUUGUGACUCCUAGAAAGGAAAAUGAGGCUUGGGGGAGAAUUCCGUACCUUGCUCUAAAGUCAUUACUUCCUCAUAAGGGGCUCUUGAGCUGUUGAAGUGACACAUAUGGAGUCAGCACAUAAUGAGCCCAAUCAGGGAUGACUUUAAGAUCCCUCUGGAAGGGCACGCAUUCUCCGUUACCUUUCCACAAGCUAAGCUGAGCUACCACAGCCAGCUGGAGAGAAAAAGCAAAGAGUUAAUCUGGAUUUGUCCGAUAUAACCUUCUACUAUGAGUCCUCCAAUGCUCUUCUGACCGUUUGGCUGAAACAUAAUCCUGAGCGCAGUGUCUCUCGUAUGAAGCACUAACAGCCCUCCAGGAACCGGAGUCCGGGGUGGGAAAGCAGAACAGUAGGAGGCAGGGAGACAGAGUAGGAAGAAGAUCGAGUUCCAGAGCAAGUGGGCAGAAGUCCUGAUGGCCUUGUGGGAUCUCCCAUGGUGGAGCUGACCCUUGCGCAGGGAUAGUGCCCUGGUAAUGCAUUGUGUGAAGGUCUCUGACUCCUCACAGAAGCAAUCCGUUUGAAACAGCUUUUUUAAUUUGCUUGCAGCCCUGAUCACUUCUGCCUUCCCUUUGCCUUUGCCCUGAGGCUGAAUGACAAAGAUAAGACUCUCCUUUACAUCUGCAGCUCCUAAG